GACGAACGCUGGCGGCGUGCUUAACACAUGCAAGUCGAACGGGAUUUAGUAGACAGAAGCCUCGGCUAAAGAUUACUAAUGAGAGUGGCGAACGGGUGAGUAACGCGUGAGCAACCUGCCUAUGACAGUGGGAUAGCCUCGGGAAACCGGGAUUAAUACCGCAUCAAAUCGUAGAAACACAUGUUUUAACGGUCAAAGAUUUAUCGGUCAUAGAUGGGCUCGCGUCUGAUUAGCUAGUUGGUGAGAUAACAGCCCACCAAGGCGACGAUCAGUAGCCGGUCUGAGAGGAUGACCGGCCACAUUGGAACUGAGACACGGUCCAAACUCCUACGGGAGGCAGCAGUGGGGAAUAUUGCACAAUGGGGGAAACCCUGAUGCAGCGACGCCGCGUGAACGAAGAAGGUAUUCGUAUCGUAAAGUUCUGUCCUAUGGGAAGAUAAUGACAGUACCAUAGAAGAAAGCUCCGGCUAAAUACGUG
rnacentral:rRNA from 1 species